rnacentral:misc_RNA from 1 species
AAAGUGCGACAAGUGUCAUGACUUGCAGAUACCCGAGAGCUGACAAAUUUCUGAAUGCAAAUUGCAGCCAAGUUAACCUGGCUAUGUAUUGCAGAGAGUACUUCGCUUAUGCGCGCCAUCCAGGGGUGGUUCCAUUCCCUCUUGGGCUAUGUGCAGGCUUUCAUUAGCCUGCUGAGCAUUGUGCCACUCCAACCUCGCGUUGGAUACAGGCCAACUCAAAUGAAAGAUAGAAAACCAAUGAGUUUUCCCGGACAACAACAUGAGAUAAUUGAAUACCACAAUUUUUCUCACCUCUCACCUCUGCAAUGCAGGAGAACCCGCUGAACUUAA